rnacentral:rRNA from 1 species
CCUACGGGUGGCAGCAGUGGGGAAUAUUGCACAAUGGGGGAAACCCUGAUGCAGCAACGCCGCGUGAGUGAAGAAGUAAUUCGUUAUGUAAAGCUCUAUCAGCAGGGAAGAAAAUGACGGUAUCUGAGUAAGAAGCCCCGGCCAACUACGUGCCAGCAGCCGCGGUAAUACGUAGGGGGCAAGCGGUAUCCGGAUUUACUGGGUGGAAAGGGAGCGUAGACGGCAGUGCAAGUCUGGAGUGAAAGGCGGGGGCUCAACCCCCGGACUGCUCUGGAAACUGUACGGCUGGAGUGCAGGAGAGGUAAGUGGAAUUCCUAGUGUAGCGGUGAAAUGCGUAGAUAUUAGGAGGAACACCAGUGGCGAAGGCGGCUUACUGGACUGUAACUGACGUUGAGGCUCGAAAGCGUGGGGAGCAAACAGGAUUAGAUACCCGGGUAGUC